CAGCCGCCGCGGUAAUACGAAGGGGGCUAGCGUUGCUCGGAAUUACUGGGCGUAAAGGGAGCGUAGGCGGACAUUUAAGUCAGGGGUGAAAUCCCAGAGCUCAACUCUGGAACUGCCUUUGAUACUGGGUGUCUUGAGUGUGAUAGAGGUAUGUGGAACUCCGAGUGUAGAGGUGAAUUUCGUAGAUAUUCGGAAGAACACCAGUGGCGAAGGCGACAUACUGGAUCAUUACUGACGCUGAGGCUCGAAAGCGUGGGGAGCAAACAGGAUUAGAUACCCGCGUAGUCCCUGUCUCUUAUAA
rnacentral:rRNA from 1 species